rnacentral:rRNA from 1 species
AUCUACAGCCAUGCCACCCUGGACGUUGCCCGAUCUAGUCUGAUAUCGGAAGCUAAGCAGGGUCGGGCCUGGUUAGUACUUGGAUGGGAGACCACCUAGGAAUACCAGAUGCUGUAGGCG